UACGUAGGGUGCGAGCGUUGUCCGGAAUUAUUGGGCGUAAAGAGCUCGUAGGCGGUUUGUCACGUCUGCUGUGAAAUCCCGAGGCUCAACCUCGGGCCUGCAGUGGGUACGGGCAGACUGGAGUGCGGUAGGGGAGAAUGGAAUUCCUGGUGUAGCGGUGGAAUGCGCAGAUAUCAGGAGGAACACCGAUGGCGAAGGCAGUUCUGUGGGCCGUAACUGACGCUGAGGAGCGAAAGCGUGGGGAGCGAACAGG
rnacentral:rRNA from 1 species